rnacentral:rRNA from 1 species
GACGAACGCUGGCGGCGUGCUUAACACAUGCAAGUCGAACGGAGUGGCGCACGGGUGAGUAACACGUGGGUGAUCUGCCUUGCACUUCGGGAUAAGCUUGGGAAACUGGGACUAAUACCGGAUAGUGCAAGAUGAGCUCGGGGCCUAUCAGCUGGUGGGUGGGGUAAUGACCUACCAAGGCGUCGACGGGUAGCCGGCCUGAGAGGGGGUACGGCCACAUUGGGACUGAGAUACGGCCCAGACGACUACGGGAGGCAGCAGUGGGGAAUAUUGCACAAGAGGCGGAAGCCUGAUGCAGCGACGCCGCGUGGGGGAGGAAGGCCUGCGGGGUGGAAACGCCUUUCGACAGGGACGCGGUACCUGUAUAAGAAGCACCGGCUAACUACGUGCCAGCAGCCGCGGUAAUAC